CGCAAAUUCCUCGGAAUUCCCAGUUUACAGGGGAGUUGGAGAAAUCUCAGAACAACCCCCUUGGGCAGUGGACAAGAAGCUUGGGGAAGCUGGGAUCAGACCACCAUCAAGUCCUGCACCGUCAACUGUCAGCAAGGGAUAACUCCCGGGGACUGGCACUUCUCCUCCACCCAGCAGAGGGCUCCGUUCACAGCGGGGGCUCCCUUCACAAGGACUCGCUUGACCCUCCUUUCCCAGGGGAGACUAUACGCCGUUGAAGGCCCGGUGAUCGCUGCCCGCUAGCCCGCUACUGCUUGGAAACGUCGCUCUCCUGUGACGACGACCCCACCGAAGAAUCCCCUCCUGGGUGCUCUCCUAAUGCUGCCCUGGGCGGCUGACGUGUCCGCCUUGCGGAGCUUCACACAGAUGGCGGGCUUCCUCCUGGCUGUGCGCGCAGGAGUUUCUCCGGGCUUUGCGGAGUCUCCGAGAGGGUGCUUGGGGCUAGGGUGGGGAGGGAGAGACCCCCAGGGACUUAGUGCGCUUCCCCCCCCCCCAUUCUCCCCCUGCUGCCAGGGAUGGGGGGGGCAGGCCCUGGUUAAUGAUGAUGAUUUAAUCAUCGGCGCCUGCGGAGGCCUGGGACAGACUAAUGCAGAGCAGAUGCUGAAGGAGGAGGGGAGGACGACAAGGACACUGGCGCACACAGACACACUUAGGCAGCGAGCGCCUGCAGUAGCAUAGGCCCAGUCUCGCGCUCGGGAAAGACUCAGGAGUCUUCAGACAAAAUUGGGAUAGAAAUGCAGCAAGGAGUUAGGAAGUCAGUGAUUUAUUAAUCAGCUACUCAUUCAAGCCACUGCUUAGCUCCCUGGCCCAAGCCACUUUCAUCUUUUCCCCUGAAUUAGUGCAGUGCCUUCUUGGCUUU